AGUACACUCUUAAAAUUGAUGUGUUAAAAUUUUACACAAAAUAUGUGUAAAAGGAUUCCAACACAUUUUUGUGUUAGAACUGACACAUAAUGUGUAAAUAUUAUGCUUAACUGCUUACACAAUGAAUGUGUAAAACAUGUUUACCAGUAAUUUAAUGAUGAUUUAUAUUUAAACGAAGUAACAAAAUAAAAUAUAUCUACUGUUAACCAAAAUAUAUCUACUGUUAACCACUACUACCACAUAACAGCCAGCGGGGAUUUUCAUAAGGACUUGCCGAGAUCAAGCUGCGUUGGGCGGGGUACAUUAGCGCUGAGUAUCCGGUGGUUGUCUGGAUCAGAACUCCGAAAGAGUCGGAGCAGAUUUUUUAAUAAACGCUAUCUUUAUAAACCGACCGCACAUUUGAUCUUUUUAUACAUACAUUCUCGCCUAAAUAGCUUUUGAAUAUACAUUUUGUGACACAAUAAGAGUAAUAUUUCAAACAUUAUGCAGGCGUUCUCUUCCAUUGGUGGCUGUUGUAAGUUCACACGAGUCAGCUGAUGACGUUUCACUUGGACAGACAACCACGCAUUGUUGUAUAUUUUUUUGCGUGUGUUAUUAUUAUUUUAUUAUUAUGAAAUUCGUGAACAUUAUUAUUGAGCCUUGGCAGUCUAUUUAGUAUUUGUUUUAUUGAGGAGAAAAAAAAAAAAACAAGAACGCAUAUUGUGUUGCGCCUGCGCUGUGACGUUCUUUUUUCAACCGCAUUUCCAGUCGAGAGGUCAAGAAUGCUCCUGUCUGCAUCAGGUAAGAAUUUAAAUAAAAAAUUACCGUUAUAAUAUGAUAUCUAUUUUUCAUUUAGUGUAAUAAACUUUAGCAUUAAUUGUGCAGGAGACUGUUCAUUUAAACUUUAUUGUGGUAACGUUAAAUGCUCGCUCGUUUUGCAAAGUUACGUUUGGAGAUUCAUGUUAACAGUCAUUGUUUAAUGAAAGGCACAUUGGACUACGGGUUAGUAUGUGUGACACUUGCAGCACUUUAACGUAAAUCUUUAACACCGUGUCAUAAAUAGACGUGACACGCGGUAACGGGUUUCUUUUCAGUUUAUGUCCUGACGUUAAUAGGACGGGAUAUUAUAAAUUAUGCCUUUCGAUUAUCGCGACGCCUCGUCGCGUUUGGUUAAGCACAUGGUGGAUCAGUAUGCACAUCACUGUACCUACUGUACACCUGUGAGCGGCAUGACGAGACAAAAGACGCUAUCCAUCUGAAAAAGAAAAGCUGGCACUCGCAAAGGAGAUUGUGUUGUUGGAUUAUGGUCUCAUUUGGUCAAAAUGAGGGACAUGUACUGAGCAUUUUUCUUUAUUUUUUCUUUUUUUUUUGAUGGGCCAUCACACAGUGGAUUUAUAAAAAUGAGACUACAGAACAUCAGACGGAAGCUUCAAUGGAGUUGACGUGAGAGGACAUCAUCAAUAAAGAAUGCCAUUGACCAAACCUUCAGUCAUCAAAGGAGAUGGAUACAGGUGGACAUCAAGUUUUCCAGACUUACCGAUAGGAAAGAAGACAUGUUUAUCAGGAAAUGGGAGGUGACAAUUAUUGAGAAACUCUUUAGAGAAGAAAAUGGACAUCAGACAUUCAUUGAAGAAAGCUGACAGUCAACAUAAUGAUCUUCUGCUGUGUGAAUUCUGUGUGAAGUCUCAGACCUGUGGGACUUGGUGGCGGCUGGUACCAGCGUGACCUCUUUGCUUACUAAAUGAUGAAAAGGUGUCUAAAAUCAGCUCAGCCACAGUUGGUUUCCAGCGGUUCUUCAGGACAUAGAGGCCACUAUGUAAUUGUCGCAAUGAAUGAUUCUCUUGCCUUUCCACUUGAUGUUUACAAUCUGACCUGUGCGGUAGAAAGACUUUUCAAAUUUACUAGCUAAGUAACCUUAAGUAUCCCUGCCAACUGUCUUCAGGUUUUUUUUUGUAUGAAUAUGAUCUACCCUUGUCCCAGUCCUCUUGCAAACGAUCCAAGCCAAUGGAGUUUCAAAAUGGACCGAAAAUUGCAGUCUGUUUUAACCAAUGCAUGCACUGUGUGGCGGUUUCCCGGACAGGGAUUAGACUAGUCCUAGACUAAAACAUUUUUAAGAGCUGUCCAAACUGAAAACAACUUGCACUGACAUAUCUUAAAAUACAUCAGUGCCCUUUGUUUUGCCUCAAAAUGCACACAGGUAAUGUUUUUAGUAAGGCAUGUUUGUUAAAACCAGAUAUAUUUCCUAAUUAAUCUAAGGCCUAGUCCUGGAUUAAGAUAAUCCCUGUCCGGGAAACCGCCCCUAAAUAUUUUGUGAUGGAAAUUUCUUUGAAUACACUUGUCAAGUUCAUUUGAAGUAUUUUUCUUAAUGUAAAAUAACGUGUUAAUGUUUCAGGACAAGGUAAGAAUUUUUGAUAACUUGUAUGUUGAAAACGAUUUCAGACAUUGUUUCAACAUGUUUAACACAUGUGCUUUUAAAUUCAAUGAAUUAUUUUAUAAAUGGUGUUUUUUUAUGUAUGAAUGUAAUGUAUGUUUGAAGUGAUUAUACUUGCACUUAAAUUUAUUUAAAUUAGCAUACAUCUUGCAGCAUAAAGUACUAGCAUAUUUUCAUGCUAGCAUUAAUUGUCAAAUAUUUAUUAUUAUACAAAUAAAUGUUGUGAACAAUA